rnacentral:rRNA from 1 species
GGUUAAGCGACUAAGCGUACACGGUGGAUGCCCUGGCAGUCAGAGGCGAUGAAGGACGUGCUAAUCUGCGAUAAGCGUCGGUAAGGUGAUAUGAACCGUUAUAACCGGCGAUUUCCGAAUGGGGAAACCCAGUGUGAUUCGUCACA